UGAAUGCUUUGCAUUUGCAGCGGAAAUCCUUUUUGUGCAAUGCAAUGGAACAAAAAGAUUGCAGCGAAAAGCGGGAAAUAGC
rnacentral:sRNA from 1 species